CCUACGGGGCGCAGCAGUAGGGAAUUUUCGUCAAUGGGCGCAAGCCUGAACGAGCAAUGCCGCGUGAACGAGGAAGGUCUUCGGAUCGUAAAGUUCUGUUGAAGGGGAAAAAGAGCGGAGAGAGGAAAUGAACUCCGAUUGAUAUUACCCUUCGAGGAAGUCACGGCUAACUACGUGCCAGCAGCCGCGGUAAUACGUAGGAUUCAAGCGUUAUCCGGAUUUAUUGGGUUUAAAGGGUGCGUAGGCGGUUCGAUAAGUUAGAGGUGAAAUCCCGGGGCUCAACUCCGGCACUGCCUCUGAUACUG
rnacentral:rRNA from 1 species